UGCACAUGCGCCGUCCCCCGACGCGGGGCGAAGGUCACCAGCAUCCGAGGUGGCGGCGUGAGGUUCGGCCUCUGGGGCCAGCUGGCGGCGGCGGCGGCCUGGGGUGGCGCAUCAGCUGCUGGGCAGGUGCACUAAUACUGAAGUACUAUGAGCAUUCGGAACUUCUGGAGAAAGAACAAAGUUUUGAUUGUUAUGAUACCUUUAGUUGGGCUCAUUCAUUUGGGGUGGCACAGAAUCAAAAGCAGCCCUGUUUUCCAAGUACCUAAUAAGGAGGAUAUUCCUGAGCAAGAUAGUCUGGGACUGUCAAGUCUGCCGGCGAACCAAAUCCAAAGGAAAUAGCAGGCUAGCAAUCUUCAGAAAGAAGCAGCUUUGAAUCUGAGCUUGACAUUGAAAGAAGAGAAUGAAAAACAGCAGUUGGAUUAGAAAGAACUGGCUUCUUGUGGCUGGGGUAUCUUUAAUAGGUGUCCAUCUUGGAACAUACCUUAUACAGAGGGCUGCAAAACAGUCUGUAAAAUCUCAGUCUGGAGCCAAACAAAAGAGUAUUGAAGAAUGAAGUAAAAUAAAUAUUUAGAAUUA